rnacentral:rRNA from 1 species
UAGGGAAUAUUGGUCAAUGGGCGAGAGCCUGAACCAGCCAUGCCGCGUGCAGGAAGACGGCCUUCUGGGUUGUAAACUGCUUUUAUCAGGGAACAAAAAGGCCAUGCGUGGCAAAUUGCGUGUACCUGAGGAAUAAGCACCGGCUAACUCCGUGCCAGCAGCCGCGGUAAUACGGAGGGUGCAAGCGUUGUCCGGAUUUAUUGGGUUUAAAGGGUGCGUAGGUGGCCUUGUAAGUCAGUGGUGAAAUCCUCCAGCUCAACUGGAGAACUGCCAUUGAUACUGCUGGGCUUGAGUACAGACGAGGUAGGCGGAAUUUAUGGUGUAGCGGUGAAAUGCAUAGAUACCAUAAAGAACACCGAUAGCGAAGGCAGCUUACUAGACUGUAACUGACACUGAGGCACGAAAGCGUGGGGAGCGAACAGGAUUAGAUACCCCCGUAGUCC